AGUGAACGCUGGCGGUAGGCCUAACACAUGCAAGUCGAACGGCAGCACAGUAAGAGCUUGCUCUUACGGGUGGCGAGUGGCGGACGGGUGAGGAAUACAUCGGAAUCUACUUUUUCGUGGGGGAUAACGUAGGGAAACUUACGCUAAUACCGCAUACGACCUACGGGUGAAAGCAGGGGAUCUUCGGACCUUGCGCGAUUGAAUGCGCCGAUGUCGGAUUAGCUAGUUGGCGGGGUAAAGGCCCACCAAGGCGACGAUCCGUAGCCGGUCUGAGAGGAUGAUCAGCCACACUGGAACUGAGACACGGUCCAGACUCCUACGGGAGGCAGCAGUGGGGAAUAUUGGACAAUGGGCGCAGGCCUGAUCCAGCCAUACCGCGUGGGUGAAGAAGGCCUUCGGGUUGUAAAGCCCUUUUGUUGGGAAAGAAAAGCAGCAGGUUAAUACCCCGCUGUUCUGACGGUACCCAAAGAAUAAGCACCGGCUAACUUCGUG
rnacentral:rRNA from 1 species